AUACGUAGGGGCCAAACGUUGUCCGGAUUUAUUGGGCGUAAAGGGCUCGUAGGCGGUUUAACAAGUCGGUCGUGAAAGCCCGGGGCUCAACCCCGGGACGCCGGUCGAAACUGUUAUGACUAGGGUCCGGUAGAGGUGAGUGGAAUUCUCGGUGUAGCGGUGGAAUGCGCAGAUAUCGAGAGGAACACCAGUAGCGAAGGCGGCUCACUGGGCCGGUACCGACGCUGAGGAGCGAAAGCAUGGGGAGCAAACAGGAUUAGAAACCCCGGUAGUCC
rnacentral:rRNA from 1 species